UCGAACGGCAGCAUAGAGAGCUUGCUCUCUGAUGGCGAGUGGCGAACGGGUGAGUAAUACAUCGGAACGUGUCCGUUUGUGGGGGACAACCACCCGAAAGGGUGGCUAAUACCGCAUAAGACCUGAGGGUGAAAGCCGGGGACCGCAAGGCCUGGCGCGAACGGAGCGGCCGAUGACUGAUUAGCUGGUUGGCGGGGUAAAGGCCCACCAAGGCGACGAUCAGUAGCUGGUCUGAGAGGACGACCAGCCACACUGGAACUGAGACACGGUCCAGACUCCUACGGGAGGCAGCAGUGGGGAAUUUUGGACAAUGGGGGCAACCCUGAUCCAGCCAUGCCGCGUGCGGGAAGAAGGCCUUCGGGUUGUAAACCGCUUUUGUCAGGGACGAAAAGGUGCGGGUUAAGAGCUAGCACUGAUGACGGUACCUGAAGAAUAAGCACCGGCUAACUACGUGCCAGCAGCCGCGGUAAUACGUAGGGUGCGAGCGUUAAUCGGAAUUACUGGGCGUAAAGCGUGCGCAGGCGGUUGGGUAAGACAGAUGUGAAAUCCCCGGGCUUAACCUGGGAACUGCAUUUGUGACUGUCCGACUGGAGUAUGUCAGAGGGGGGUGGAAUUCCAAGUGUAGCAGUGAAAUGCGUAGAUA
rnacentral:rRNA from 1 species